UUGACUAGCACAUGUGUAUGGAGUUUGUUUCGCGUCAAGUUGUAGUUGAUAUCGACCGGGGACAAAUUUAAGGUUUGAGGAAAUCCACCUCUCUGUUAUAUCGGCAUAACUCUGUUGUUUACGUUUACUGAAAACGGCAAGAGAAAUGGAUCGCUGGGCAGGACGUGUUGCCUUGGUAACAGGAGCAUCGAAAGGGAUAGGAGCAGCCACUGCACGUGCUCUGGUUAAGAAUGGUAUGGUGGUGGUUGGUUGUGCCAGACACGUGGAAGACAUGCAAUUGAAUGUAUUCUCUGUCAUCACCGUAUCCCAGCUUACCAUUCAGUCCAUACAAAAAAGGAACAUGGGUGACGGGCACAUUAUUAACAU